ensembl:misc_RNA Metazoa_SRP Metazoan signal recognition particle RNA
GCUGGGCAUGGUGGCGCAUGCCUGUAAUCCCAGCUACUCAGGAGGCUGAGGCAGGAGAAUCACUUGAACCCAGGAGGCGGAGGUUGCAGUGAGCCGAGAUCAUGCCACUGCACUCCAGCCUGGGUGACAGAGUGAGACUCCAUCUCAA